ACCAUAGAGCUGUCGCAAUUGCUGGGCAAGUAUCUCAUGGUGCAAUGACAUUUAAAGGCAAAUUUUUAAAGAAAAACUAAGCAUAAUCGAUCACCCAGCUAGGGGCACUCCAACUGGCGACCAACUGGCGACCGCUGCGACGACAGAUCCGACGAGAGUCCAUUGAAAUUUGCAUAUUCGUACGUAAAGUAAUCGCAACGCUCAAUAUUUAUCCCACAAUUGCCGUUGACGCAUUCGCAUUGAGCUCUAGGAAAUGUGUACUUGGAUUUGCUUUGGGUCAAUUUUAGAGAGUCUAGGAAAAACGUAUUUUUGUUUAGGAAUUUCAAGAUUUUUGUUUUUUAAAUGUGCCGGAAAAUAGUUUUCUCAUUGUCAAAAGAACAAUAAUAAAUCGAGCAAUCAUUUGAAAAA